rnacentral:rRNA from 1 species
CCUACGGGACGCAGCAGUGAGGAAUAUUGGGCAAUGGGGGCAACCCUGACCCAGCCAUGCCGCGUGAGUGAAGAAGGUUUUCGAAUUGUAAAGCUCUUUCGGAUGUGAAGAUGAUGACGGUAGCAUCUAAAGAAGCCCCGGCAAACUUCGUGCCAGCAGCCGCGGUAAUACGAAGGGGGCGAGCGUUGUUCGGAAUUACUGGGCGUAAAGGGUGUGUAGGUUGACGUGUAAGAUAGCGGUGAAAUCCCAGAGCUCAACUUUGGAAUUGCCAUUAUAACUAUGCGUCUAGAAUUAUAGAGAGGAUA